UACGGGGGGGGCAAGCGUUGUUCGGAAUUACUGGGCGUAAAGGGCUCGUAGGUUGCCAACUAAGUCAGACGUGAAAUCCCUCGGCUUAACCGGGGAACUGCGUCUGAUACUGGAUGGCUUGAGUUCGGGAGAGGGAUGCGGAAUUCCAGGUGUAGCGGUGAAAUGCGUAGAUAUCUGGAGGAACACCGGUGGCGAAGGCGGCAUCCUGGACCGACACUGACACUGAGGAGCGAAAGCCAGGGGAGCAAACGGG
rnacentral:rRNA from 1 species